rnacentral:rRNA from 1 species
AUUGAACGCUGGCGGCAUGCCUUACACAUGCAAGUCGAACGGCAGCACGGGAGCAAUCCUGGUGGCGAGUGGCGAACGGGUGAGUAAUAUAUCGGAACGUGCCCAGUCGUGGGGGAUAACGUAGCGAAAGCUACGCUAAUACCGCAUACGAUCUACGGAUGAAAGCGGGGGAUCGCAAGACCUCGCGCGAUUGGAGCGGCCGAUAUCAGAUUAGCUAGUUGGUGGGGUAAAAGCUCACCAAGGCGACGAUCUGUAGCUGGUCUGAGAGGACGACCAGCCACACUGGAACUGAGACACGGUCCAGACUCCUACGGGAGGCAGCAGUGGGGAAUUUUGGACAAUGGGCGCAAGCCUGAUCCAGCAAUGCCGCGUGCAGGAUGAAGGCCUUCGGUUGUAACUGCUUUGUACGGAACGAACGGUGAGCUCUAAUAAGACUUGCUAAUGACGGUACCGUAAGAAUAAGCACCGGCUAACUACGUG